GCCUGGAUAACUCAGUUGGUUAGAGUGUGGUACUGAUAAUGGCAACGUUGCAGGUUCUAUCCCCGUGCAGGACA